rnacentral:misc_RNA from 1 species
GAAAUGUUAACAAGAAUGUCUUAUCUUAUGGAAACUUUGAUUUAAAACUUUCCAUAUGAAAGCCACAUUAGGAGGAAGGAACCAGAAGAGAUGAUUAUAUUCAUUUACACCAGAACUUAAAAGACAGGCAAUUGCAUUUCCAAUUUCAUGUAUUCAUCUACCAAAAUUAUUCAAAUGUUUACAUACGAAUUAGGCAUAUAAGCAGAUGUGU